UUGCCAGUGGAUCAAUACCUGUAUUGAUCAACCAUUGUGAGAGUGAUCCGUCUAAAACCCAGAGCAGCCUAGAGCUCAGAGAUGGGAGGAGCGAGAGAGAGAGUGGCUGCAGAGAGGAUGGAGAAAGAGAGAGAGUCUGCAGCCACAGUGAAAGGGAGAAGAGGUGCAAGGGAAGAGAAUCUGAGAGAGAAGCAGACGCAGAGCUGAAGGCAGGUGGGGAGGCAGGUUUUCGGACAACGCUGCCAGGCCACUGGGACUGGGGGAGAAACCAAUGAAAACAACUGGAGUGUGAAAGAUCUGCAGCCUCGACGACAACGUGGGACAGAGAAGGCCCAGCACAGACUGUGCUCAUGAGUUCAGCUGUUCUGGUAAAAAACUGGAAAAUCAAAGAGCAAGUGGAAUGGAAAAUCCUGCAUCCUGGAUACAAGCAUAGAGGAUAUAAAAGGGACAUUCACGAUCAAGGCAAAGUUGAGUGUGUCAUCAACACUGAUGUCAAACUCAAAGAUGAAUGGCUGCAAGAACGUAGUGUAAUCUGUGGCAAGUGACAGAUUGUUGUUGUUUUGAACUGGUGUGGAUAAAGCUAGCUUGGGAUCUUUCGGACAAUUCACUGGAUUGGAUUACAUUUUUAUUCAUAUUUUGAAUUUUGUUGGAGUUUUGCUGAAUGGACAACUGACUAGAGUGGACCCCUCAACACAAGCAAUGAAUGUUUGAUUCAAGGCCCCAAGCGGGGCUGCACCGGAGGAGGAGUCAAAAGGCUUUUGGGAUCAAUCCCCCCCAAUGCUAAAGGGAAAUCAAGUUUUCAUUGAUUGGUUUAAAUGUGACUUCCCUGCGCAUAAUCCUGGAUCUGAGGGAAGAUAAAAUCCCUUGAAACAAACUGUUGAUGCCUAGGAACUCACUUUGUACUUUCCUUUGUAACACAGAGAAAAAGGCCUAAUACACUUAUACAGUUUCACUUCUCUCACAACGUGACAUUUUAUGAACAUUCUUUGGCAAGGACAAGAGCCACCUACAAUUGUGUUUGUUGUAAAAUAAAUAAACUAUUAUUGUGUGGUGCAAAAUGCUAA